UUUGUUUCUGUUUGAACGUGUUCAAUUGUAUGUGAGUGUGUUUUUCUGUAUAUAAUGUGCUUGUUGCACUUUGUGUUCAGGACCGGUUAUUGUAAUUGAUGGUCUGGAUGAAUCGUGCCAUGUGACUCAUGCUAAUCACAUUAUGCAGUGUUUGAUGGGUCUGUGUGAAUUGUGUGUGUGUGUGUGUGUUUGGUGUGGUGGGGGACUGUGCUUAUUAGGAUGUUGGGGUGCAGUGACAUGUUGGCUACCGUGAGAUCGGGGUACAUGCCUCUAUAGCCUCACAGAAACAUGGAUCCUUUAGGAUCUCUUCUAAUACUUUGGAAUGUAUUCUUCUUUUUUAACUCAUUGGGGACUACUUGCAAUUGUUUUUUCCCUUUGUAAACCGCUUGUCCAGCUUAAGACCAGACCCGGGUGGGUCUCUCUCCUCCAGACCAGAGGGGGCACAUCUCCACCAGAGAAGGCCAGAGGGGGUCCAUCUCCACCAGACCUGACCAGAGUGGCUCCAUCUCCUCCAGGUCAAAGCAGACAAGGGCGGUGUGAGGAUAAGACUCCCACGCCUCUCGCACUGCCGCUCGCUGAGACGGACCACAGGGAACACUCUUGGUUCUGAGGGGAGACGGACAGAAGACAGACAAAGUGCACCGGUUUGAAGUGACGGAGGGUGAGAACCAGAGUGACUCACCCUCUCCUCCCUGCUCAUCCACUCGCCGACCA
rnacentral:lncRNA from 1 species